rnacentral:rRNA from 1 species
GACGUAGGGCGCGAGCGUUGUCCGGAUUUAUUGGGCGUAAAGAGCUCGUAGGCGGCUCAUUUCGUCAACCGUGAAAACCAGCAGCUCAACUGUUGGCUUGCGGUUGAUACGGGUGGGCUGGAGUUCGGUAGGGGAGACUGGAAUUCCUGGUGUAGCGGUGAAAUGCGCAGAUAUCAGGAGGAACACCGGUGGCGAAGGCGGGUCUCUGGGCCGAUACUGACGCUGAGGAGCGAAAGCGUGGGGAGCAAACAGG